rnacentral:rRNA from 1 species
CGCGGCCUAUCAGCUUGUUGGUGAGGUAACGGCUCACCAAGGCAUCGACGGGUAGCUGGUCUGAGAGGAUGAUCAGCCACACUGGGACUGAGACACGGCCCAGACUCCUACGGGAGGCAGCAGUAGGGAAUAUUGCACAAUGGGCGAAAGCCUGAUGCAGCAACGCCGCGUGCGGGAAGAAGGCCCUAGGGUUGUAGACCGCUUUCAGCAGGGAAGAAAAUGACGGUACCUGCAGAAGAAGGUGCGGCCAACUACGUGCCAGCAGCCGCGGUGACACGUAGGCACCAAGCGUUGUCCGGAUUUAUUGGGCGUAAAGAGCUCGUAGGCGGUUCAGUUAGUCGGGUGUGAAAACUCUGGGCUCAACCCAGAGACGCCACUCGAUACUGCUGUGACUAGAGUGCGGUAGGGGAGCGGGGAAUUCCUAGUGUAGCGGUGAAAUGCGCAGAUAUUAGGAGGAACACCAGUGGCGAAGGCGCCGCUCUGGGCCGUAACUGACGCUGAGGAGCGAAAGCGUGGGUAGCAAACAGGAUUAGAUACCCUGGUAGUCCACGCCGUAAACGUUGGGCACUAGGUGUGGGUCUCAACCAACGAGAUCCGCGCCGUCGCUAACGCAUUAAGUGCCCCGCCUGGGGAGUACGG